CAUGAAGCUGGAUUCGCUAGUAAUCGCGCAUCAGCCACGGCGCGGUGAAUACGUUCCCGGGCCUUGUACACACCGCCCGUCAAGCCAUGGAAGCCGGGGGGUGCCUGAAGUGCGCUGCCGCAAGGAGCGCCCUAGGGUAAAACCGGUGACUGGGGCUAAGUCGUAACAAGGUAAC
rnacentral:rRNA from 1 species